rnacentral:rRNA from 1 species
CACGUAGGGGGCAAGCGUUGUCCGGAUUUAUUGGGCGUAAAGAGCUCGUAGGUGGCUCGGUAAGUCGGGUGUUAAACCCCCAGGCUCAACCUGGGGACGCCACUCGAUACUGCUGUGACUAGAGUCCGGUAGGGGAGCGUGGAAUUCCUGGUGUAGCGGUGAAAUGCGCAGAUAUCAGGAGGAACACCAGCGGCGAAGGCGGCGCUCUGGGCCGGUACUGACGCUGAGGAGCGAAAGCGUGGGGAGCGAACAGG